UACGUAGGUGGCAAGCGUUGUCCGGAUUUACUGGGCGUAAAGAGCGCGCAGGCGGUCGUUCAAGUCGCGUGUGAAAGCCCCCGGCUCAACUGGGGAGGGUCCCGCGAUACUGAUCGACUCGAAGGCAGGAGAGGGUAGUGGAAUUCCCGGUGUAGUGGUGAAAUGCGUAGAUAUCGGGAGGAACACCAGUGGCGAAGGCGACUACCUGGCCUGUUCUUGACGCUGAGGCGCGAAAGCUAGGGGAGCAAACGGG
rnacentral:rRNA from 1 species